AUGAAGAGUUUGAUCCUGGCUCAGGAUGAACGCUAGCGGCAGGCCUAAUACAUGCAAGUCGAGGGGCAGCACGGUUUUCGGACUGGUGGCGACCGGCGCACGGGUGCGUAACGCGUAUACAAUUUGCCUUGUACUGGAGGAUAGCCCGGAGAAAUCCGGAUUAAUACUCCAUAAUAUUAUGAAUUCGCAUGUUUUUAUAAUUAAAGCUUCGGUGGUACAAGAUGAGUAUGCGUCCUAUUAGUUAGUUGGUAAGGUAACGGCUUACCAAGACAACGAUAGGUAGGGGGCCUGAGAGGGUUAUCCCCCACACUGGUACUGAGACACGGACCAGACUCCUACGGGAGGCAGCAGUGAGGAAUAUUGGACAAUGGAGGCAACUCUGAUCCAGCCAUGCCGCGUGAAGGAAGAAUGUCCUACGGAUUGUAAACUUCUUUUAUUUGGGAAGAAACUUCUCUACGUGUAGAGAACUGACGGUACCAAACGAAUAAGGACCGGCUAACUCCGUGCCAGCAGCCGCGGUAAUGCGGA
rnacentral:rRNA from 1 species